UACAGAGGGGGCAAGCGUUGUUCGGAAUUACUGGGCGUAAAGGGCGCGUAGGCGGCCUGUUAAGUCGAACGUGAAAUCCCCGGGCUCAACCCGGGAACUGCGUCCGAUACUGGCAGGCUUGAAUUCGGGAGAGGGAUGUGGAAUUCCAGGUGUAGCGGUGAAAUGCGUAGAUAUCGUAAGGAAGACCAGUGGCGAAGGCGGGUCUCUGGACAGUUCCUGACGCUGAGGCACGAAGGUCAGGGGGGCAAACGGG
rnacentral:rRNA from 1 species